ACACAGCAGCAUGUGCCAACUUCGAGCAUCGGAAGCUGCAAUUUGUGUUUAUCAUGGUUUGGUGGAUUUUUUGGUAAUUUAUUUAGUUUUGCCAGGUAUUUGUCUCAGAUUCUCUCUCUCUCUCUCUCUCUCUCUCUCUCUCUCUCUCUCCUCUCUCUCUUCCUCUCUCUCCCUCUCUCUUCCUCUCUCUUUCCCCUCACUCUUUCUAGGAGACACUACUUCAUUGCCUGGGUACUUGCCUGCAAAAGGUCAAAACACAUUAUUACACCUGCUACCGUUUAUAGGAUAGUCCAGUGUCUUAGUUGUUUUCCUUUUUCCUUAUUUUUGUUCUUUUUAAGGGACGGGGAAAUAAUAAUUAAAAAUAAAAAGAACAAUCAGAAGUUAGAGAGGGAACAGGGGUCGGGAAAGGACUAUGAGCCAAAGGGGAGGGAGAGCCCUGCGCUCUGCCCCUCCCCCGCUCGAGUUCACUGGACGGGCGUCUGCACCCCGUGGUGUGGUGGCGUGUCCCUACUCCCCCCGUACACAUCCUCGGCGCCCGGCAGAGUCCCUCCAGGAGGGGUCAUCCUUUUCUCUUUCUGUCUCCUGUUACAAAACCAAACUCUCACCACCUCCUUCUCCAGCUGUAAGCUGUCCGCGAGGGAAGUGAUCUCCUGGGCCGAGGGCUUGGGGCAUUUGAGGAAAUGGCUCUCCAGAGCCCCCUUGACGCUCACCUCGAUGGAGGUCCGCUUUUUCCGCUUGCGCCCCUGCGCUGCGAUCUUGUCUAUGCUCGUGGGGCUGCCCGAGGACGAGUCCGCCUCCUCCAACCACUUGUUCAACAAAGGCUUCAGCUUGCACAUGUUCUUGAAGCUCAGCUGCAGGGCCUCAAACCUGCAGAUGGUGGUCUGCGAGAACACGUUGCCGUACAGGGUGCCCAGCGCCAGCCCCACGUCUGCUUGGAGCUUUUUGCACCUCCUUAAAAUUCACAUCGGAAGUUAUUGCUUCACUCUCCCCAUUUAUUCUUAUGGCAAACUGAAGACUGAAGACGGGUUGGAUUAAGCAACAUUUGCAUCAGGGUAACUGGCUCGAGCUGGCUCCACGCUAUUUCGAGGAUGAAUGAGAUGAGAGAAUGGUCUGAAGAGAGGAUGAGAGGAGGAGAACUGGAGACUGAAUUUACACUAAUAUUCUUUUAAGGAGUUUUGCUGUUAAAGAGAAGCAGAGAAAUAGACAUAGCCAUAGGGCAUAUGGGAUCAAGUGAAGAUUUUAUUUCAUAUAGAGAAUAUUAUGGCAUAUUUUUGUGUACAGACAUUGAUAGAAAAGCGUGUGUGGUGAUAACAGAAAAAGCAACAUAUACCAUAAAUGUGAGCAGACACUGGACACGAGUGUAUGCAAAUUGUUGAUGAGGGGACUUGGGGUGUGGAUAGGGGUGUAUUUUCAGUUUUAUUAGAAGAAAAUCAAGUCAGGUUACAGAGGACACACAAUAAAAUAUGAAUUCUUACAAAGAAGAAAAAGAAGCUGAAGAAGAAGGAGGAGGAGGAGGAGGAGGAGAAGGAGAAGGAGGAGAAGGAGAAGGAGAAGAAGGAGGAGGAGGAGGAUGAGAAGAAGAAGAAGAAGAGGAGGAAGAGGAAGAGGAAGAGGAGGAGGAAGAAGAAGAAGGGUAACAGCACUGAAAUACAGUGGUUAUGAUUAUAGGCCCAGCCAGUGUGUAAGCUUUCUGGAAGCUGUGGAUAAGGAGAAAUGGUUAAAUUACUUAACUCACUAUGUAGAAAAGGAAAUAAAACAGCACUUUAGUAGAGGCAGUAUUCCUAUAAGUAACCCUGGUAACUAUUGCAUUUGCAAUGUGAGUUACAGAACGGGACAAACAUCACUAAUAUCUAUUUCAUCACACUUAAAAAAUGUGAUCAGUAUGGAUCAUUCUUUCAAUGUCCUUUUUAAAGGACCAAUCAUUAAUAGAGGUUGCUUAAACAUUAAAGUUUUUGAUGUUUAAUAUGAGUAAGUCUUAAACCUGUACCUUCAAAAAGGCAAGCAGACGAGCAUUCUUAAAUUUACAUUGAGUUGUUGAGAUUUUGAUGGGAACAUAAUGGCCAGCAUAUUAAAGAGAUCCCAUCAAGCUUAGAAUACAUCUGCUAUGCUCCACUAUGUGAUAAGGACAGAGCCCAUCUCCUUCGGAACAGGUGGUGGCAUCUGCACAUGUGUUAGUAUGGUUAAGAAGCCUACUUUUUUGUAGUAAGCCUGAUCGGAGGCACCUGGAUUGCAGACAGAACUGCAGGCAAAGUCAAAGUUUUUCUCAAAAGGAAUUUAAAACAGAAUUUGGUUGCCACUACCCCAGAAGCAUGACAGAGGUGAUUUUAGUUUUAAGAUUUUUCAGAGAGGUGUUAGCAGAAGUACAUAGCUGUGUGAAUGUUAGCUCACUGCAGUGCUCAUUUAUCAGCCUGACAUACUGAUGGGCCUUCCCAGGGAGCAGAACACAUCUCUAGAUGACAGAACACAUUGGUCUCAUGUACAGAGUUAUUUGUUAUUGAUCUCUUAAAGGUUGGAGCAUACCAGCUUGGAACUGUAAUUUUCAUUUAAAAAAAUUUAGUUUUUUCCUAAAAGUAAGUGGACUAGACUCAUUUGAGAUGUAAGUGCCUCAGUCAAAUAAGCAAACAACACAAUUAAAAUCUAGUCAAAUGAAAUGUUUUGUAUUGUAAGAACUAAAAAAGUAGACAUGGAUUAAAUUUUUCGAGCUUCAGAAUAUGUUAGUGACAUAAACAAAAUAAAACACAACCCCUCAACAGCCAAAGCAUAUACUGUGAAUGCUCUUUAUUCUUAUUCUGAUUCUGCUACUGAAACAGAAACUGCUACAAGAAUGGGUUGAGGAAGUACAGCAAAAAUGACUUGGUGCCAGCCUGCCCAUGAGAGCCUGGACAUAUCAAAGGUAGAAAGGAAGGGCAGAAUCUUAGGGCUACGCCCAGAAACCCAAAGAAGUGUCAUUGGGUUAGAGAAGUUGCAUACACUAAAUUUCCAUCUGGGAAGGGCCACACAGUGUUUUAUUAGAUUCAAAGUGCCAAACUUUUUUUUUGAAAUCACCAAGAAGUUCAUCUUUAAGGGGAAACUAUUCAAUCUCUGGUCUCUUAGACAUGAUGCAUGAUUCAUCUCUAAGUCAUUUUAUACUUUUGAAAUUUGUCAGGGAUAUAAUGGAAGCAAAGUUUUUCUCAAAGACAUAGACUGUUUGUUUCUUGCAGAGGAAGUGAAAAAUGAGGAAACCAUCUGGCAUUUGCUCAAAAUAUCAAGAUAAUUGAGGCCAAACUAUCUUUUAGCUUAAUUUUAUAUCAAUGAACACCCUUCAUGCCUCUUUCCACAUUUUUCUGCAUGGAGAGUAUCUUAAGGAAAUAAACUGAAAUUUACUAAUAAGAAUUUUACUGUUGGGUCAUGUUCUCCAGCUUCCAUAGAAAUUCUACUAUUCUUGAAUUUAAUAUACAUGUGUAUGUAUAUAUUAAUUGAAGAGGUAUUCAUGAAGAAAUUUCAUAGAUUAAAACUCCCACCUUUAUUGAAAACUUCAUACCUCUGAUCAGAUAUUUUCUACAAGCAAUGUGGUCUCUUUGUUAUCUCUCAAAAUUUGCAUUUCAAAGCUGAUUAUAGACUGUGUGAGAUGAAGUUGAUGUCCUUUCUGUACAACAGAGAUAUAGGGUGAGUCUCUGCUGAAAAAAAAGACAUUAUUUACAGCCAAGUUUAUUUUAUAAACUUAGUUUUUAGUUUUGCAUUUCUAAUUCAGAAUCAUAUGUUUCACUUAAUCUCUUAAUGGUUUGUUAUUAAAGCUCAUGUUUCUUGCAAAAAUGUAGCCAUAUUAAAAAGCAUUUAAUGGCUGUUUUUUUCUUUUCAACCAGUAAAUAAAGUAUUGUUUUAUUAUUCAUCAAGAAACAUGACUGUUAUGAUAUUUUCUCACUAAAUCAACAUAUAUAUUAUCUAUUUUUACUGGUUUUUAAUCUGACUGUAGAUACUUUUUGUUUUGCUGGGAAUAAAUUAGUAAGAUUUGGAAUACAUUGUAACUCCAUAGUUAAAGAAAAAUAUUUAUUUCAUAGGAAAAUGAGUACUGAUAGUCAGUCAAACUUGAAAUCAUUAUAUCAAACAGAUCCCAACAUAUUGGUCAGCAUUUGAAGAUCACUGUCACUUUUGCAUCAACAUUUUCCCUAAAUUCCAUCACCCUAAAUUAUAUGGAAGGAUUAUAUGUCAUGUUUAAUAAAUUUUACAAAUUGGAUAAUUCAAUUAGGUCUUAUAUUUGAAAGAAGCAAAUUUAUCCAGUGUACUAAAAUUAUAGAAUUUUAUAGUUCUAUAUUAGUUUUGCUAAGGAGACAUGCACACAUAUGUAAUUAUAUGGCUGGAAUGUAAUUUUGGCCUCUUAGUUAUAUGUAUAAAAUUAUAUUAAUUAUAUAUUUAAGAUAUAUCUCUACUUCUUUUUCUCCUCCUCUUCUUUGACUUUAUCUUCCACUUGGUUUUCAAUAGAUAUGGAAAUAACCCACUGGGAGUCACUGUAGUCAAUUAGCCAAAUAGGGAAUAAGUGGUUUCUUAAGGUUUUCCUUAGUUGAAGAAUCAGCAUAAUUCCUAAUUUUUAUUUCUCUUCUUUUCCCUAGGCCAUUUAUUAAUAAUCCAUUAAUUAAAAAAUAACUGAAUGGUCAUUUUGGAUGGCAUUUGACUCACAUAUUUUUCCUGUGUCUUAAAAGAAAUCAGGAUUUAGGAGGACCAAGUUUAACUUCCCACUCUAAACAACUAUAAAGCUACAAAAAAAAUGAGGGAAUAAUUUUCAAGAGUUUGACAUUAGACAAUAAAGAGCAGUGAUUUCUGAGGUGAGAAACUAAGAACUGAGUCUCACAAUUGCCUCAGCUUUUUCCUUGGGAGAUUUUGAGGCUUCAGUAUGGGCUAGGGAGGAACCCAAGUAGAUUAUGGCAGUCUAUCUGAAUUCUAUACUCAGUAAAAUAUUAAUAAAAAUUAUAGUGAAAUAAGAACUUCUCAGUUGCAUAAAUCUUAGAACUCAUCACUAGCAGAAGUGUACUGUAAGAAAUGUUUAUGGAAACCCUUCAUGUAGAAGGAAAAUAAUAGUAAUUAGAAAUCUGGAUCUGUAGAAAAGAAUGAAGGACACAAAUAAGUAUGUGGAUAAAUAUAUUUACAUAUCUGUAGGAGAUAAUUAACCAUUUAAAGCAAAAAAUAGGGUUUAUGAUAUCAGCAGAAGUAACAUGUAUGAGUAAAAUAGAAACAUGAUUAGGGAAGAGAGAAGUAAAAGCAUACUACUGUAAGGUUUCAAACUAUACAUGGAAUGAUAUAAUGUCAUUUGAGGCUAGAAUGUGAUAAGUUAUAGUAUGAACCCUAAAACAAUGACUAAACACAGCAGCAAGAACAACCAUACCAACUGUCUUUUAUUCAUCAUCUGUUAUAUGAUGAGAAAUAAACUAGAUAUUUUACAAACUUAAAGUUAUUGUCUUCAUUUUCUGUGGUUUUCUUAGGCUUCAUGGCAAUAUCU
rnacentral:lncRNA from 1 species